rnacentral:rRNA from 1 species
GAUGGGAGACCGCCUGGGAAUACCAGGUGCUGUAAGCCUUUUC